GUCAGACAGGAGUGUUGUUUGAUAUUGACCACCGACCAAAAGUAGCUUCGCGUUGCGACUGAAAGUGAUCAUCUUUAAAUUUCUUUUCAAAUAGGAUUGAGGACUCUAAUUUCUCAACACAUUGAGACAAAAUUAUGGUGGAAAAGACCUUUUUUCGCUGGAGAUGGUGCGGAUUCUGAGACCGACGGAAGCUUUCCAUCGGUAUGAUACUGUACUUUAAAUACAAUGAUCAAACAUGCAUAUUAAUGACUGUUUUUAAUUUAACUUCUUAGGAUCUUA